rnacentral:tRNA from 1 species
UGGGUUGUGGCUCAGCGGUAGAGAACUUGCCCUGCAUGCAUGAGACAUUGGGAUCAAUCCUCAGCACCACAU